rnacentral:rRNA from 1 species
UACAGAGGUUGCGAGCGUUAAUCGGAAUUACUGGGCGUAAAGCGUGCGUAGACGGUUACAUAAGUCGGGUGUGAAAGCCCCGGGCUCAACCUGGGAAUUGCAUUCGAGACUGCGUAGCUAGGGUGCGGAAGAGGGAAGCGGAAUUUCCGGUGUAGCGGUGAAAUGCGUAGAUAUCGGAAGGAACACCAGUGGCGAAAGCGGCUUCCUGGUCCAGCACCGACGUUCAGGCACGAAAGCGUGGGGAGCAAACAGG